GCUUGGUGGUCGAAUGGUAAGAAUACGUGGCUUAUACCCUAGAAUCCCGGGUUCGAUUCCCAGUAGAGGAGCU